rnacentral:lncRNA from 1 species
ACUCAGAUCGACAGCAACACGUUCCUGUGCAGCUUCUUGAAUGUACUUAAUCAACAGAUCAAGCUCCUCCAUUCUCAUUGCCUUGAAAGAUGCAACUUUCAAGCUACUAAGCAACUCUACUGUGCACAUCUUACGCAUGCUACGCCAAUACGAACCGUAUUGUGCAAAAGCCAGGCCUUUUUGUCCAUAAGAGAUGUACCUUGCAGACUCGUGAGGUGGUCUGCCAGCAAAAACAAGGUCAUGGGUCUUGAGAAAUAACUCGGCAGCUUCAGGCGAAGAGACAACAAUGGCCGACACCAGGCCUAACCGCAAAUGCAUGAUGGGGCCAUAUCUUUGAGCAAGCUGAUGAAGAGCUCGAUGAGGAAACUUCCCUAACAAAUGAAGACUUCCAAAAAUUGGAAACCCUCUUGGACCAGGCGGUAGUCUCUUAUUCUCGGUGCUUAACCAUCGGAGCAGAAAGAUAAGUGCAACAAAGGCUAAAGAAGUCCAAAUCCAAGCCAUGGAUCUGUGAUUCUAUAACUUGCUGUUCUUGAAGUGUAUAAAAUCUCUGCCCUUUUAUUUACUUGGAUAUUGUGACUUGUAUAGGAAUCGAAGCCUGAAAGAAAAACAAACAGGAGAGGUAAGUUCGUUGUUGUUGCUUGUUUUGUGACUUGUACUUAAGAAUCGAUCGUGACAUACUAUAAAACACAAAAGCAUGAUUUGCUUAAUUCAAGUUAAUUGUCUCAUCACGGAUAUAUAUAUACUUAGAGUCAUUUUGAUAUUAUUUUCUAAGAAAAAAAUAUUUUAAAAAAUAAAUUUUAAAAUAAUAUUUGUUUUAAUUUUUAAAAUUUAUUUUUGAUAUGAGCAUAUUAAAAUAAUAUAUAAAUAUCAAAAAUUAAAAUAAUAUUCAUGAUUGUCCCUCACAAUAAAUAUACUUUCUGAAAAUCAAACUUGUAUUUUUAUCCUUAUAGAAAUAUAAUAGUACCUUAACCGCACCAUUUCUUUACGUGGAAAAGGAUGGGAUGCCCAGCGAACAAUAAAUAGGUUAGGUUGCAUCUCAUGCCUUUCAAAACACACCAUUUAGGAGAACAAAAGAGAGUGAUCCAAUGAAAUUACAUGAGGUAUUUGUGAGAGAAGCUCUGGAAUGUUUUUUUAUUAGAAGAGAAAUUAUAAUUUUUUUCUAUUAAUGAAACAUUAUUGUGAUUUUUAUUAUAUAGUAAUUUUUUCUCGUAAACAAAUUAAUAUAAUUUUUAGUAAACUACGUAAAUUCUUGAAUGUAUUAUUAUUUAUUUUCCUUGUUGUCUUGUGUCUAGAGUUGUGUAUUUUAUUUAAUUAGCAUGCCGGCAUUAAAGACUGAAAUUAUUUUAAUUAAAAAAACAGAAAAAAAAUUAUUUAAAUGACAUCAUCCGUAAUAAAAAGUUAUCCUUAGAUGCUCUCGGAGCUUCCAAAUCUUCAGGGGCAAGUUCGGAUUCUGCCAUUCCUCUCAGGGGUUCAGGCAGUGCGCAUAACGAUGCCAAGAUAUCUUGAAUGUACUACUUGCUGCACCAGCUUUUUGUGUGUAACUUCUCUAUCUGCAUUUCAACUUAGAACCUGUUAUUAAUUGGAAAAAAAAUUUAAAAAAAGGUAAUUAUUUUUAAUAUUUAGUAAUGUAAUGAAAAUAAAUUAAAAAAUAUUUUAAUGUUUGGGUUAUAUUAUGAAAAAUAAACCAGAAAAUAACGUAUUAAUAUUUUUUUAAGUUUCUUAAAAUAAUAAAGAACAAAUCUUAUAAAUUAAAAAGUUAAAUGAGAAUAAAAUUGAAAAAAAAUAUAAUUUCAUGAAUUAUCUCAGAUAAAAUAAAUAAUAAUCAAAAUAAUAGAAAUCAAAUCUAAAAAAUUAAAAAAUUAAAAGAUGAAGAAAUUAAAAUAGUAAUAAUUAACAUUUCAUAAAUUAUUUCAAAUAAAAUAAGUAACCAUAAAAAAUAAUUAUAAAAAUAAGAACCAAAAUUAAUAUAAAAAUUAAAUUAUAAGGGAUGAAAUUAAAAAAUAAAUAUUCAAAACAAUAUAUAUAUAGCAAUUAAAAUUUUGAGGAUCAAAUUUGAUAUAAUCAGCAAAUAAUAUAAUAUUUUUAAAUUUUUCAUAAUUUUCAGAAAAUAUUUUUCGUUCCAGAAUGCAUAUUUCCCCUUUCCUCGUUGUUUCUAAAAUUAUUUAAAUAACCAAUUUUAUAUGUACUAAUACUUGCACUCAAUUUGUCCUACUAAAUAUUAAUAUUAUAGCACUGUGAAGAGAUCUUUGAUUUUUAAUCUCUUUCGAUUUUAUAAACUCUGAUUUUUUACGUUUUGCUAAUCAAAACGUUCUCUUGAAGUUUUCACAUUCUCGCCUGUUACAACUUUCAAAACUCCAUUCUUAAUUUUAAUUCUAAAAAAAUUUAAUUUCUUUUUCAAAUUAAUUUUUUUAUAUAUUUAAAUUAUUUUAAUAGUUAAUAUUAAAAAAUAAAAAUAUAUCAUUUUAAUAUAUUCAUUUCUCAAUGUUUUAUGCAUAUAAUUUCCAGGAUAUUUUAUGUGUAUCUCGUUGAAACCUAGCCCACCUCAAUUAUGACGACUUCAAAAACUUUUGACAUGUUAAAGGAUAGUAAGGUCGUGGAGGUCCAGUAUUUGGCUACUGAUGUGUACUUGGCAAGUAUCAGCCACCAAAUGAUCUUUGCUAUGGAUGAGUGUCUGAUUUCCCACCACAUUUAAUUAAAUAAUUUUGUAGGACACGUGAUAUUUUCUAGAUAGCAUUGGUUGCCAAAGACUUGGCUACAAUUUCUCGGUUAUCAUCGAUGGUGAUAUCGUGGAACUGUAUAUUAUUUCCCACGAUAUCACCAUCACUUGAUGGAUGAUAAUCGAGAAAUUGUUUUUACAUAUUUUUUUCCUAAUCCAUUACCUAACCAUGAGAUAUUGUUGAUCCUUUCUUAACAGAAGUCCCCAGCAACGUACACUUCCCAUCAGACGAGCUGCAAAGGAAGAGCACAAACUGUAUCUAUUAGCACAUAUUCAUUGCUAUUUUCUAAGCUAUGAAAUGCUUCUCUUCUUCUUCUUCUUCUGAGAAACACAGAAAUUGCUUAACCCUUCAAGUAAGCUGUCCCCUGUUCUUGUUAAUAAUAGCAAUAAUUAUCUAUCUGCAUUAAGUUUAUAAGACAGCAAGGAAUAAUAGCGGGGUAGAUGUCCCCAAGAACAGCCCAUCAGACGAGCUACAAAGGAAGUUGUCAUUAGAGCAUGCAUUGUAUCUGUUCCCGAGAACAGUUGCCAUCAGACUUGCAACAAAAAUAUCAAUUUUGAAAAUUAGUACUGCCGUGUUUCCAACGCUCAUUCUUGUGUGGAAAUAUUUGCAAGUGAACCUUCAGUUCCAUAUUCUGCACCACAGGAAAAGUGAACAAUAUCUAUACGUGCAUCCAAGUUCUGAAGACUUGGAGGUCAAGGACAGACCAAAUGAAGAUUGGUUCUCCCUUGUUGAUGCUGAAAGAGAGAGACCUCUUAGGACGACCAAUCCCACAGUAUCUUGAGGGCAAGAACACUCAAACUCCAAUCUCCAUUGUUUGUCAGUUUUCUAGUAACUGUUCAAUAAAGCUGUUGCCAGAACGUGUUGACUGGUUUACAACUUGUGUUAGUGACUUAAGGGACCUCUCCUCGUGUGGAAAUAUUCGCUGAAAGGAUUUAUUGGUUGCUGUACAACUGCGGAUUGGACACAAGAAGGUGAAGACGACUUUUUGUUUAUCAAUUGUUUUUUAUUUCAAUUACGUAUACAUUAUCCAUAGUUUAAAUUAUUCUUGGUCUAGUUUCUUUGCUUUUUAAACCACAGCCAUUAUCAAGCUGUAAUUGAAGAUUGGAAAUUUCCAUGUCACCUUCUUGUCAUGUGAAUGUAAUUAGACUUUGUGUUAUCAUUUUUACCUAAAAUAGUUGAAAUGUACGACAUUGUCCCUGGAAUGCUUGUUUUUCUAAUAUGAUGAUCUCAUUGUCAAGAAAAAAUUCAUUCACAAUUGAAUAUUACAACUGAGAUGAUAUAUUUAUAUUUAUCAUUAAUUAAUAAUUAUAAGAAUUAAAUAAUAGAUUAAGUGAGCAAGUGAUCUUGAGAGACACACCGGGCUGCAUUACAUACGAGAGUCUCACCAUGAUGUAUGGAAUCUGUGACUGUUUCUAAUGCCAGAGAUAUGAUUGAUAAUAUGAUUGAAUCAGGAAAGGAGAUCAAAGUUUCCUCCGUAAUUGUCAUGCUUAACGUUUACUGUAUGAAUGGUUUGAUAAUAUAAAUUUUAGAAAAAUAAAUUAAUUUUUAAUGUUUGAUAAUGUAAUGAAAAAUAAGUUGAAAAAUAUUUUUCAGUGUUCGGUUAUAUUAUGAAAAAUGAGCUGAAAAAUAACUUAUCAAUAUUUUUUUUUAAGUUUAUUAAAAUAAGAAGGAACAAAUCUUACAAAUUAAAAAGUUAAAUGAGAAUAAAAUUGAAAAAAAUAUAAUUUCAUGAAUUAUCUUAAAUAAAAUAAAUAAUAACCAAAAUAAUAGAGAUUAAAUCUAAAAAUUAAAAAAAUUAAAAGAUGAAGAAAUUAAAAUAAUAAUAAUUAACAUUUUAUAAAUUAUUUCAAAUAAAAUAAGUAACAAUCAAAAGAAUGAAGACUAAAUUUGAUAAAUAAAAAAUUUCAAUUAAAAAAUGAUAAGGGAAAAACAAGUAACAAUUAUAAAAAUGAGGAUCAAAGUUAAUAUAAAAAUUAAAUUAUAAGGGAUGAAAUUGAAAAAUAAAUAUUCAAAACAAAAAAUAUAUAUAUAGCAAUUAAAAUUUUUAGGAUCAAAUUUGAUAUAAUCAGCAAAUAAUAUGAUAUUUCUAAAUUUUUCAUAACUUCCAGAAAGUGUUUUCCGCCAAAAAUAAAAGGAAAAUACUUUCCUGGAAACCAAGUCAAAUAUUUUUUUUUAGUAGAAAGUAUUUUCCAUUAACAAGAAAGCGUUUUUUAUUAAUCAAAUUUUCUAAUAGCAAAUAAAUACAGAAACAUUUAAAAAAUAAUUUCUUAAAAAAUACUGAAGGAAUAAUUUAAAAAAAAUUUCCUCCUUUUCAAAUAAUUUUGAACAUGCUCUAAAAUUCAUUAUGCUGAAGGAUUAUAUGCAUUUCAAAGUAUGUUUGGUACACUGCAAGCUAAUAUGCUUGCUAUUUGACCCAAAAUAGAGAAUUUUAGAAGUAGAAUUCCUUUAGCAUGCCGCAGACAUCUGCCACCAGCAAGGGCGGAACUAGGAUUAUUUUUUAGGGGGGGCCAAAAAAUAUAAUAUAUAUUUUUAAUUUAUUAUAUAUAAAAAGUAAAAAUAAAAUAAAAACUACUUGAUUUAGUUUUAUUUAAAGACGUAUUACAAAAUAUAUAAUAAUCUUUGUACCUAUUAAAUACAAACAUACAAAUAUAUAAGAAGCAUUAACUAAAAUGAAACAUUAUUUAUGUUUAAUAAACUUUGAAAUAAAAUAAUAAAUAAUAAUUCUUACAUAUUUAUUUUAAUUGUGCUCAUCGUUCUUUCAUCGAAUAGAAAUCAUCAAUUAUCAUAUCAAUUGGGAAUCUUUCAGCAAUUUUUUUUCUAUAUAGACAAUCAAAUAAUUUGCAAGAAAAUCAUCUUCCAUCCGAUUGCGAAGUCUUGUUUUAACAAUCUUCAUCGCUGAGAAAGCUCGUUCAGUAGUUGCUGUCGAAACAGGAAGAGUCAAGAUAAGCCGAAUCAACCUGUCAAUGAGUGGAUAAAUUGUUGUUUUUCUGUUUCAACCAAUCCUUGACAUAAAUCUGCAAUCGAUGACAUAUUCUUUAACUUUGGAUGAUUGGGUACAUCAAGCUCAUAAUGUUGCAACUGAAAUCUCAAAUGAAUUUUUUCUUGGUCAGAAAAAUCUUCAGGAUAGAACUUGUCAACAAGUAAGCAUAUAUCUUCAACAUUGAAUAAUUUAUAGCUAUUUCUAGGAUCUAAAGUUGUGCUCAAUUUAAGAAGCUCGAUCGCCUGCUCAUUGAAUCUGUUAUUUAGCUCUUGUAAUUUGAUCAAUGAUAGCUGUAAAUAUAUCAACUCGGUAUGAUGCUCAACUGUUACUGAUUUUGUUUUACGACGAGAUCGUCCCACACUAGAAAAACAAGCAUCCAUAUCAGGAAUUUCAAUGUCUUGAUGCUUACAAAAUGAUGUCACUUCUUCUAAAAGAGUUUCCCAACUAUCAUCUCUUAACUUAUGAAUUAAAGUCUUUGUGCUAGUCACCAAAUGCAUAGCAUUUAAAAUGUCUUAAGAUUUUUGUUGUAAGGCUUGACAAAGCAUAUCAGUAAUUUCCAUAACAUUCUUCAUUAUAUGUAAGAAGAAUGCAAAAUCAAAUGACAUUAGCAACUUAAAUGAAAAGACUGCUUCACCACGUUGAGAAUAAGUAGAUCCAUCUAAAGCAAUGUUUUCAAGAACCAAGCAAGUUGCCCCAUACAUUUUUAUCAAACUGCAAAUUGAUUUGAAAUGCGAACUCCAUCUGCUAUCUCCAGGUCGUUGCAAACCACCUACUUGAUUAACUCCUUUACCCGUUUCAAUCUCACCAAUAUCAACUAGAUGCUCAAUUGUAGCUGCUUGAAAAGCCCGUAACUCAUCAUUACGCUUGCAAGAAGCACUAACAAUGUUAAUAAUAAAGAUCAAAUUCUGAAAGAAAGUGUGAACAUCAGAUAUUUCUCUAGCUGCAGCAAUAAGAGCCAAUUGUAACUGAUGAGCUAAGCAAUGUACAUAAUAUGCAUAAGGGCAAUCAUUAAUGAAUAAAGCUUGCAAACCAUUCCACUCUCCACGCAUAUUACUGGCACCAUCAUAUCCUUGACCCCUAAUAUUUUGAACAUCAAGAUUAUGAUGAGAUAAAACAAAGGAAAUCUCUUCCUUAAGAGUUGCAGCAUUGUAUCUUUGACAUGAACUAUAUCCAAAAAUCGUUCUCGUAUAAAUCCACUUCUAUCAACAAACCUAAUAACAAGGGCCAUUUGCUCUCUUCUAGAUUCAUCUCGAGCUUCAUCAACAAUUAAACAAAAUCUUGCAUCACCAAUCUCAUGACGAAUUGAAGACUGAACAUUUCUAGCAAAGACAUGCAAAAUUUCUUUUUGAAUUUGAUGUGAGGUGUAUUUAGCAUUUUGUGGAGCAUUACCCAAAACAAGAGCACCUACUUGUUCAUUGUAUGAUGCUAAAAGUUCCAUCAUUUCAAGAAAAUUACCUCGGUUUUUUUAUUCUGGACGUUCAUCAUGCCUCUAAAAGCACAUGCUUGAAAUGUGAGCCAACGAACAAUAUCUAUUGAAGCUUUAAUACGCAAUCGAUUAUUCUGAACUUCUUGAGUAGUUUGCCUCUUAACUACCUUCUCAAUAUGACAUGACUGAUUUUUCAAAUUUUCCAAGCACCUGGUAGCAAAUCUAUGAGCUGAAUUUGGACCUUUUCCCAUAUGAGUCAAAAAAGCACAUCGUUCCCCAUCAUUAACUUUCUUCCAACAAUUAAAUCCUUUAACAGUAAAUGUGUCUGAUCCUGGCUUUCCAGAUGGUUUACUUGAAAAUAAAUAGCAAGGGAAACAAAAUGCAGUAUUUUUCUCUGAAUAUUCAAGCCACGGAUAACUUUUGAACCAAUGAGACUGAAAUCGACGAGGAUGUUUAUUACCAGUUAGCGGAUAUUCAGACAUCAAAGGUUGAUAUGGCCCCAAAUUAAUGUAUGCCCUUCGAAUUUCAUCUUGUUGAUUAACCGGGUAUUCCAAAUUUGAGGACGAUUGCUUGGAUCUCUAAUUAAAUGAGCAAUAUCGAUUCUAGUAAGAGGCUGCUCACUAAUCAGCGCAGGUUCUUUGUAAACUGAAGCACAUAGAGGCUGCUCAACCAUAACUUCAACAUUACUUGGAGUUGGUUCACUAAGCUGUGAGUUAUCAAUAUUUUUCUUUUCUUUUUUUCAAAAAAAGAAUCAAUUCUUCAUAUUUUGUUCAUGAUUCAACCUAAAAUCAAAACAUAUAUAGUGAGAAAAAAUUGAUAAUUUUGGUGGCUCUGCUAAAAACAAAACAUAAAAAAAAUCCAUGUAUAAUCAAAACAAACCAAUAAAAUAUAUCUAAUUAAUUAGAAAAAAAAUCACUAUAACAAGAAUUCAAAAAACCAAUUAUUAGAACUAGCAAAUUUGAAAAAAAAAGCAAAAAUUAUAAAAACAAAUCUUAUUAAAUUCUUAAUAAACAUCUCAAAACAAAAUAAAAAUAUAUUUUAAAUUUGAGUUAUCGAUAUCCAAUUACGUACCUUGUUUUGUUUACUAAGAGAUAAAUCAAACAAUACUCUGUUUCAAUCUUUCCGCAUAAAAAUUUGUUUAGAAUCUUUAUUCUUGUUUUUGUUUUGAGUGGCUGCGUUGGAAUUACAACAAUUUAUAUUAGGGUUAUAUUGUAGCAUAGGGAGGGAAAAGACAAAAAACACAUUCACCCUUUAUAUUUAUUUUUCAUUCCCUGGAGGCUGGAGACACAUAUUGCUUUCCACGUAGGUUUUUAUCACAGUCCAUUAAUCACAGCCCAUUCUUUUCAGCCCUAAAAAAAAAAAAAAAAAAGUCUUGCAGGGGCCCGGGCCCUGCUUGCCCCCCUUCACUCCGCAGGACGCUAAAUUAUUUCAUCGUGUAACUUGACGUGAUAAAGGCAAGCCCUCCUGAGAUCCUUGAUGUAACUUUCUCUGCUUCUUUCUCACUUUAACAUGUGAGGUAGCUAGGAUUAUACUGGUCCUUCGAUAUCUACUCGAUCAUUGUGGGGAAACCUUGAACAUGGGGACUGUCUUUCCACAAUUGACAAGAGAGUAAUGUUUUUAUUUGGAUGGAUUUUGUAUGGAUUUUCUCCCAUUAUGUCUUUAGUAUUUUCUGUUUUGUUUUGUUGAGGAAUGUUUAGUUUCAGCUCAUUUGGAUGGAUUUUGUAUGGUUUUCUUUGCUUUGAUUUAUCUUAAGUUGCGUUUUAUCCUUCAUAUGACUUUAUGCCAUAUUAAGAUAUUGUGUAGCUUUUGUUCUAUUCCCGUCAGACUUUGACGCUUAUAUAAUAUACACAUCUUUCAAAAAAAAAAGAGUAAUAUUUUUAUUUUUUGGUGCAAGAAAAGAUAGUACUGUACAAGCUUUUGGAUAUCAAUUUGGUUUGAACUUGAGCUUGGUUAAACUCGUGUCUAAGAUUUUACUAGUUGUAAGCUUUAAAAAUUAACUUAACUUCAUAAAAUUUGUUAAAAUUGUUUUAGUUUUUUAUCAUUUUUUUAAAAUAAUAUUUUUUUAAUUUCAUCAUUCAAAAUUUAUUUAAUAAAAUAUUAAACUCUUCUGUUUUUUAUGACCUUGGUUCUGGAGGCCAUAGUCACACCUAGUUGAGAAACAGCUAGAUUUGCUUCUGAUUUAUUAUUGCAUAAUCAUGCUGUGUCUAUGAAUCGCUAGUGCUAUGUAUAAACAAAGUCAUCAACUCUAACGGUGCUUUUAUAUGUAUUCUUCUUCCAUCGGUCGGACAGAGAAUAGCUUAUCUAGUUUUCCAAAAGAAAUGGCAUAUACCUCAUUUAUUUGCUCUUAAAAAGAUGGUAAAAUCCUUUAAAGAGUGUGAUGAACAAGAAAGCACACAGAAUCCCUGAAGGAGCACUUAAUGAGGGAACAUUAUUUUGAUCUAAAACAAGACACUGAUACAUUUAGCUUCAUUUGUUAAGGCGAUAUGUAGGAAUAGCUACCAGAUGCUUGGACCUGCAGAGUGCGAGACCAAACUCUUCUGUCAUGUCCACUUCAGAUGGCAAUAUUCCAUUCGGAAGUUCCCAAUCAAAGCAAUGGAGCAGCUGCGCAACCACCAGCCGCACCACAGUUAGCCCCAGUUGCAUUCCAGGGCAGCUUCUGCGGCCAGUGCCAAAUGGAAAUAGCUGGAGUCUCGGCCCCGAACAUCUAUGUCACUGCCAACAAACCUCUCCGGGUAAACUUUUCUGCAUCGGUCCAGCUUUUGGGUCUCGACCAAUGGCCCAUGCAUUGAUUAUAAACAAGUGAUUUCUUUGGUAUGUGGAAGCCAUUCACAACGCAGUCCUCCGUGGCCUCAUGAGGGAUCAUCAGAGGACCCGCUGGAUGGAGCCGCAAGGUUUCCUUCACAACCAUGUCUAGGUACUCCAACCUCUCCAAGUCUGAUUCCUCCACCAUCCUUUGCUUUCCCACUACUUCUUCUAGUUCUUUUUGCAGUUUCUUCAUAACCCGUGGAUUUUUUAUCAGUUCUGAGAAUGCCCAGUCAAUCACAGUUGCUGAAGUGUCCACUGAACCCACAAGCAUGUCCUGCAAAAUGUCAUGUGCAGGAGCAUAAAGCUACCAUUAUUGUGCAGUUAAUUUCAUCAAGAUUAAAAGAUAAAAUGCUCACUUACCACCAUUAUGGCUUUCAUACAGCCUUGAUCAACGAGGUACUCGUUUUCUUCGGAUUUCAUGAAACUUAGCAUGACGUCAACAAAGUCCUUGUUUUUGCCCUUCUCCUGGUAGUGUACAUGCUCGUCAAUAAUCUUGUCAAGAAAGACAUCUAACACUUUGGAAAUAGCCUUCAUGCGUUUUGUCAGUCCCUGGAGAUCAAGAGCUGCGAUUUGAGGAAUGUAAUCUCCCAAGUGUGGAGCUCCUGAUAAAUGCAUGACCUCUUGCAUCACAGAUUGAAUCCCCUCUCAUCAAGAUCCUCAUCUAAAUAUUUCUUCCCAAACACCAUUCUACAGCUCAUGUCAGCACUGAGGGACGAAACCUUGGCACUCAGAUCGACAGCAACACGUUCCUGUGCAGCUUCUUGAAUGUACUUAAUCAACAGAUCAAGCUCCUCCAUUCUCAUUGCCUUGAAAGAUGUAACUUUCAAGCUACUAAGCAACUCCACUGUGCACAUCUUACGCAUGCUGCGCCAAUACGAACCGUAUUGUGCAAAAGCCAUGCCUUUUUCCAUAAGAGAUGUACCUUGCAGACUCGCGAGGUGGUCUGCCAGCAAAAACAAGGUCAUGGGUCUUAAGAAAUAACUCGGCAGCUUCAGGCGAAGAGACAACAAUGGUCGACCCAGGCCUAGCCGCAAAUGCAUGAUGGGGCCAUAUCUUUGAGCAAGCUGAUGAAGAGCUCGAUGAG